CUCAGAUUAGCCAUGCAUGUCUAAGUACAUGCCGUAUUAAGGCGAAACCGCGAAUGGCUCAUUAAAUCAGUUAUGGUUCCUUGGAUCGUACCUUACUACUUGGAUAACUGUGGCAAUUCUAGAGCUAAUACAUGCAGCAGAGCUCCGACCUUCGGGGACGAGCGCUUUUAUUAGACCAAAACCAAUCGGACCUCGUGUCCGUACGAUGUGGUGACUCUGUAUAACUUUGGGCUGAUCGCACGGGCCCGUCCCGGCGACGUAUCUUUCAAGUGUCUGCCUUAUCAACUGUCGAUGGUAGGUUACUCGCCUACCAUGGUCGUAACGGGUGACGGGGAAUCAGGGUUCGAUUCCGGAGAGGGAGCCUGAGAAACGGCUACCACAUCCAAGGAAGGCAGCAGGCGCGCAAAUUACCCACUCCCGGAACGGGGAGGUAGUGACGAAAAAUAACAAUACGGGACUCUUUUGAGACCCCGUAAUUGGAAUGAGUACACUCUAAAUCCUUUAACGAGGAUCCAUUGGAGGGCAAGUCUGGUGCCAGCAGCUGCGGUAAUUCCAGCUCCAAUAGCGUAUAUUAAAGUUGUUGCGGUUAAAAAGCUCGUAGUUGGAUCUCAGUUCCAGACGGGUGGUCCGCCUACCGGUGGUCACUGCCCGUUCUGAACAGCCAGCCGGUUUCCCUUGAUGAUCUUCACCGGUUGUCUCGGGUGACCGGCAAGUUUACUUUGAAAAAAUUAGAGUGCUCAAAGCAGGCGUGACGCCUGAAUAAUGGUGCAUGGAAUAAUGGAAUAGGACCUCGGUUCUAUUUUGUUGGUUUUCGGAACACGAGGUAAUGAUUAAGAGGGACAGACGGGGGCAUUCGUAUUGCGACGCUAGAGGUGAAAUUCUUGGACCGUCGCAAGACGAACUACUGCGAAAGCAUUUGCCAAGAAUGUUUCCAUUAAUCAAGAACGAAAGUUAGAGGUUCGAAGGCGAUCAGAUACCGCCCUAGUUCUAACCAUAAACGAUGCCAGCCAGCGAUCCGGCUGUGUUUCUCAAAAUGACACGCCGGGCAGCUUCCGGGAAACCAAAGCUUUUGGGUUCCGGGGGAAGUAUGGUUGCAAAGCUGAAACUUAAAGGAAUUGACGGAAGGGCACCACCAGGAAUGGAGCUUGCGGCUUAAUUUGACUCAACACUGGGAAACUUACCCGGCCCGGACACAGGAAAGGAUUGACAGAUUAAGAGCUCUUUCUUGAUUCUGUGGGUGGUGUGCAUGCCGUUCUUAGUUGUGAGUGAUUUGUCUGGUUAUUCCGAUACGAACGAGACUUCUAGCCUACUAAAUAGACGCUCGAUCAUUUAUAGUCGACGUUCUUCU
rnacentral:rRNA from 1 species